rnacentral:tRNA from 1 species
GCGGGUAUAGUUUAGUGGUAGAACCUCUGCCUUCCAAGCAGAUGACGGGAGUUCGAUUCUCCCUACCCGCA